UAGCUUUCCUCCAUACUACUCAAGCUGCUAGCACUCGAAAGUCUGCGUGUCAAACUUCCUGCAACAUUUUCUAUCCCAGAUUUCUGCUUCAUUAUUGGGCUCUGAUCAGGCACAUAAUUAGUAGAACGAGCGGCCCUUUCUUGAUCCAAACGAGCAGUUUUCUCCCUUUCCAACUCCUGCCGCAGGAGUUCCUGAUGAGUUAAUGCUUCUUGUAUUUCCUGCUUGUGUUUCCUUCUGAGUUCUUUAAUUUCCUCUUCAAGCUGAUUCACACGACCUUCGUUAGUCUCAGCUUCCUCCUUUAGAGCAAGAUAUUCUUGCCUAUUCUCUGCGGCCCGCUGUCUCUCUUUGUCAAGGGACCUUGUUAGCUGUGUCUGCUCAGCUCUAAGACAAGAUAUCUGAGCCUCAAGAACAUUGAUUCGGGAUAGGGUUUGAGAAAGGCGUUCAUUAAUAGAUCGCUCCUUUUCUUCUGAAGUUGCAGCUUUUGCCUCGGCUUCCUGAAGACGUGAAUUCAAGGUUCUCUCAACAGCAGCCCAAGCUUCAGCCUUUCUGGAGUUUGUUUCCUGCAUGGCUUCUAUCUGCCUGAGAAGAGGUCUGGUAGAUUCGGGAACUUGUGUUAUCAACUCCUCACAUCGACGUUCACUGGCUUGGUAUCUUUUCUGGAGAUCUUCAAUUUCUCUGCGGAGCAUAUCUUCUUUAAAAACUGCCUGCUGCUCCGUUCUGGUAAGUGUUUGCCUUAAUUCUUCAAGUGCCUGAACAAGCAUUGCUUCACGGUCUUCAGCCUCUCUGAGACGACCCUCUAGUUGAGUUCUAGCUUCAUUGUUAGCCCGUGCCUCAGAUAAAGCUUCUGCUUCUUUUGCAGCAUUUAAAGCAUUAGUAUAGUAUUCUUUUUGAGUUGCAAGUUCUGCUUGAUGUUUUUCGACUGUUUCAUGAAGCAAUUUUUCUGUUGCUGCCUUGUCCCUCUUUAUACUCUCUACUUUGUUCUCUUCAACCUCAAGCUUGGUAUGUAAUCCUUUCUUCUCUUCUUCAAGCUCUCUGAUCUGUGCCCUUAACUUUCUCAUCUGAGCUUCUUGGGCAGCUUGCUUUUUAGAAAGCUGCUCACCUUCAGCCAUUACUUGAGUAAUUAUCUCAUCCUUCUCUUUGAGAAGAGCUGCAGCAUCACUCUUCUUAUUAUGUUCCCUGCGAAGUGUAUCCCUUUCUUUGGUGAGAGCAUAAACCUUCCUCUCAAGAGCAGAAACUUUUUGAUGGUACUCUUCUCGCAGAGAUUCAAUUGCUGCAUCACUGGACUUCCUUCUCAGAUCCUCAGUAACAGCCUUCAAUUGCUCGUUCUCAUUCAUCAACUUCGCUAUUUCAUCAGCUUUAGCCUGAGCUUGUCUAGCAGCUCCUUGUAAUGCAGUUUCCAUCAUUUUCAUUUCCUUUUUCAGCUUCUCCAGUUCAACCACUGAAUUGGUAACAUCUGAAGAGUUGCUUCCGGAGCUCAACCGUUCUUUCACACCAGUCUCCUGAUCAUUUCCUCGCUGGGUAGCCUCCACAGGUAUACUAACCAACUCAUUUUCAGGCAUAACUGUAUCAGAUAGCUUCUUCAGACCUUCAUCAGUGUGCUGGUCACCAAGAAAGCUCCUGUUAGAAUGCUCUUCAAGACUUUCACCUUCGCUGGCAGUUACAGAAUCUGAAACAGAAGGUCUUCCACUAUCUGCUCGGUCACUUGAUGCAUCCCGUGAUUCAGCUGAAGGAGAUUCCAUGGUGACUUCUUUCUUCUGUUCCCUGUCUGUAGGGUAAUUUGAUGCAUCCUCUAAUUGAACAGGAGGAGAUUCCUCAGUGACUUCUUUCUUCUGUUCCCCAUCAUUACCAGUAUUUUCCUUUGAAUCAACAAGCAGCGGGAUACCAACUUCAGUUUGAGAUAAAGCAUUUGAUGAUUGGGAAACAACCAACUCGAGGUUUUCAGAUGAUUCUCGCUCUGGAAUAUUCUUUUGGAGGAUUCCUGGAGAUGUUUCCUGAUCAAGCUCAUUGACCUUCGAUGCUUCUGCCAGUGAAUUAAUUUCAGCUUUUCUUUCAUCUGGCCCAGUAACACUUCUUUGUUCCUCCUGAUCAAAACUUGGUUCCGUAGAAGAAUUCAGUUGGACAUCAACAGCUCUUGCCUCCUCAGUUUCUUCUUCAGCAGAUAUCAUUUGAUUUGGUUUCGCAUCAACAUCCUUUGCUUCUUCAAUAGGUUCUUGAACCGAUUUAGUUUCUUCAAUAAUGUCCGUUGUUUCUUCUUUUGGUUCUUUAGGAACCACACCACGUCGAGUUGUAGUCUCAGCUGAAUCUUCAACUACUUCCCCUGUGGGCAAGGUGGGCUUUGACGACUCAGCUUUCUCUACAGAUUCUUCAGCAGUCCCCUCACUUUUUUGCCCCAUAAAAGACAUGACAGGAUCAAAUAAGGCCCUCCUAUCCGUAGUUGAAGGCCAUAACCCUGAAGCUUCAUUGUUACUAGACUCAGAUUUCUCCUCGAGACCAAGUGCAGUGUCGAAAUUUUUUUCAAUGUUUUUGACACUCUCACUGAGCUUAUUCACGGCACCGGCAAGAUCCAAGUUCGUCAAAUCAAGUUUCCCACCAAACCACGCCAUCUUUUUGACUCGAUCCAAAGCUCAAAUUACAUGGAAAGCUCCUUCAUCCUAUCAAAUGAAUCAUACAUUGUCAAAAUCCUAAGAAAUUCCAAUUUCAAUAAACAACAUCCAUAUAACAGCAAAAUUGUUUUUGUGUUCAAUCAGAUCCCAUCAUUCAAUAAUUUCCGAUUCAGAAAGUUACAAAGAAAAAAGAUAUUGAAAAUUGGAUUGAUUGGAAGUUUUUUAAUACCACACUUGGAACUUGGA
rnacentral:misc_RNA from 1 species